CUGACAUCAGGGUCAUAAACCACUAAUUUGCAACUGAAUACUUCUUUGAAACUUUGCUGCACGUGUAUCCUGGGUGUGUUCGAGGUAUGUUGUUUGUUCUAAAAAGGUGUAAAAACUGUAUACUGAAAACCAAGCUUCUCUUGAACACUUUCUUCCUUUGUGGAGACUGCCUUCCUGGAUUAUGGUCCUCAGCGUGGCUCAGCUACCCUUACAGGAGAAACUGAAACACAGCUGCUGCAUUGUGAAUCCACGCCGGGAAAGAAACGGUGUCCAGUGAAUAAUGAGAAGGCCCCAGAAUGGCUCCUCUAACAAUCCUGCUUCUUCCUUUACUGGAAUCCUUCCUUGUGGGCUCAACAGCGACUCAUGCAUCGAGGGGAGUGGGACUUGGGACUCAAAGGCACAACAGGGCAGAAAGGAGGCCACAACUCACUGCUGGGAACUGGACCAGACGAGUCAACAAUGGCAAAGAAGUCCUGGAAUAUGAGCUUCAAAAUCUCAGUCAAAACUCACCCCUAAGAGAAUCUACCUGAUGAAUCUUAUUCGAUCGUGUCAGCUCUUUAACUACUGGUCAUCCUUUCAGCAUGCACUCAGUUAUUUAAGUGGUGAACUGACAGAUCCACCAAACCAAGGCCUGCAUGCCAGGAAGUGUGAGCUGUUGAUCUGUGUAUAGACAUCACCAGCCUUUUGGAGGACAAUUCCCGUGUAUUGGAGACCUGGUAAAUCACGCAUUAUUCCCUCCACCUCCCCACUCACCCUCAAAACAUUGACAUUUUUGUUAAGUGAAAUUCUAUUAAAAUAAAUAUCAAGGAAUGACUUUAUCAAGGGAACCAAAACUGGGACCUUUAGGCAAUAAAACAAUA
rnacentral:lncRNA from 1 species